rnacentral:rRNA from 1 species
CUGAGACACGGCCCCCACUCCUACGGGAGGGAGCAGUGGGGAAUUUUUCCCAAUGGGCGCAAACCUGACGGAACAACGCCGCGUGUGGAGAAGAAGGCUCUUGGGCUGUCAACCACUUUUUUCCUGGAAGAAGACCUGAAGGUACCUGAGGAAUAAACCUCGGCUAACUCCUUGCUACCAGCCGCGGUAUUACGUGAGGAGGCAAGCGGUAUCCCGAAUUAUUGGGCGUCAAGCGUCCGCAGGGGGCACUUCAAGUCUGCUGUCUGAGGUCGGAGCUUAACUCCGUUUCGGCAGUGGAAACUGAGAUUGCUAGAUAGGCGACAGGGGUAGAGGGAAUUCCCAGUGUAGCGGUGAAAUGCGUAGCAGAUUGGGUAGAACACCGGUGGCGAAAGCGCUCUACUGUGUCGCACCUGACCCUCAAGUACGAAAGCUAAGGUAGUCGAAAGGGAUUAGAUACGCCAGUAGUCUUAGCCGUCAAGGAUGUAUUUUAGGCGUGGUUUGUAUCGACGCAAGCCGUGCCGAAACUAACGCGAUAUGUAUACCGCCUGGGGAGUACGCACUCAAGUGUGAAUCUCAAAGGAAUUGACGGGGGCCCGCACAAGCGGUGGAGGAUGUGUUUUAAUUCGAUGCAACGCGAAGAACCUUACCAGGGCUUGACAUCCCGCGAAUCUUGCUGAAAGGUGAGAGCUCCUUCGGGAGCGCGGAGACAGGUGGUGCAUGGCUGUCGUCAGCUCGUGUCGUGAGAUGUUGGGUUAAGUCCCGCAACGAGCGCAACUCUCGUCCUUAGUUCCCAGCAUUAAGUUGGGCACUAUAGGGAGACCGCCGGUGACAAACCGGAGGAAGGUGAGGAUGACGUCAAGUCAGCAUGCUCCUUAUGCUCUGGGCGACACAC